AUGCCGAGGGCGAAGAAGAAAAAAGAUAGUGAUGAUCACUUCUGUCUAUUUAAGUUUGAAGAUGGGAUUUACCAAAUAUGUCGUUUCCCCAGUGAGGUGAGGGGUAUAACCUCACAACCCAAAGCAAGGUGGAGAGACAGGAAGUGGUAUCCUGGGAGGGUGAUAGUGGCUGGAAGUAAGUUGUUUAAUGAUAUCUUAUUUCUCUAUGUGUUUAUAGCUAGUAUUGUUGAAUAGGGUACGUCACAAAAAUUUUAAUAUAUCUCGCAAUAUCUUUUGAAGUGUUGCAGGCAUAAAAAUGAGCUGUGGAUUUUACUGCUUACUUAAUCCCAUUUUCUACCUGUGAAGGUUCAUCUAGAGGAGUCUUUUUAUAUGAGAAGUGUAAUCCACUGCUCUUUCUACAGUAGUUCAAAAGAUAUAGAGCUGUUAUGAUAUUUUUGGCGCACCUCGAAAUAACAGGCUUGAGUAUUGGUCAUUAAAAUUGGAGCAGAAAAUUUGACGGAAUGAUCUUGUGUCCGGUUAUUGUAUAACAACAGUGUACAAAUAAAGUCACAGCAUUUUUCGAUCUGAGCAUCAUUGACUUAAACGUACUAUUGGUAAAAAAGUUGGUAAAAAGAGUAUUAGGCUCUUCGAAUUAUACAAAUACUUACUGCCAGAUAAUGAUAAUUUUCACACUCCUCGCUAAAAACACACUCCUCAGAGUGGGCACACUCCUCCCAAAGAGUGGUAUGCUCUUCGAAUUAUAAAAAUACUUAAUGCCAGAUAUUGACAAAUUUCACACUCCUCGCUAACAACACACUCCUCAGAAGGGGCACACUCCUCCCAAAGAGUAGUAGGGUCUUCAAUGGUUAAAAUAUUUAAUACCAGAUAUUGACAAUUUUCACACUCCUCACAAACAACGCACUCCUCAGAGUGGGCACACCCCUCGCAAAGAGUGGUAUGCUACGAAUUAUAAAAAUACUUAAUGCCAGAUAUUGACAAAUUUCACACUCCUCGCAAACAACACACUCCUCAGAGGGGGCACACUCCUCCCAAAGAGUAGUAGGGUCUUCAAUGGUUAAAAUAUUUAAUACCAGAUAUUGACAAUUUUCACACUCCUCUCUAACAACACACUCCUUAGAACGGGCACACUCCUCCCAAAUGGACUGAGUUAAGCAGAAAGGAACCAACCCACAUUUUGGAAAAAAUUGAGUUAUGAGUGGUUUUGAACUCAACCACUGCGCUACUAUCUAUCGCCAAAAAUUCAAAGUUUUCGUUGGAGCAAAUUUUGCAGAAAUUGAACUUGAAGUUUAUCUUUUACAUUGAGUCUUAUGCAGGAGCCAAACUUUAAACCUCUUUUUCUCGGUUCGAUCCCGAUGUGGCUUGGUUCCUUUCUGUUUAACUCCGUCCAAAUAGUAUUAGGCUCUUCGAAUUAUAAAAAUAUUUAAUGCCCGAUAUUGACAAUUUACCACACUCCUCGCAAACAACACACUCCUCAGAGGGGGCACACUCCUCCCAAAGAGUAUUAGGCUCUUCGAAUUAUAAAAAUAUUUAAUGCCCGAUAUUGACAAUUUUCACACUCCUCGCAAACAACACACUCCUCAGAGGGGGCACACCCUCCCAAAGAGUAGUAGGGUCUUCGAAUUAUAAAAAUACUUACUGCCAGAUAAUGAUAAUUUUCACACUCCUCGCUAAAAACACACUCCUCAGAGUGGGCACACCCCUCGCAAAGAGUGGUAUGCUCUUCGAAUUAUAAAAAUACUUAAUGCCCGAUA
rnacentral:lncRNA from 1 species